CUGGGCCAUAAUCUAGAGGAGAUAUAAAGCUUGCAUGAUUUUCUCAGCUGCUCUACGUGGAUUAAUUACAGCGUAUUUCUAAUUGAAAUGACUGUAAUAACAGGAGUGUACUAACACAGGAUUAGAAUAUGUUCUUUUGUCAUGAGCAAAACCCAGCAAAGCAGCAGCAGGGUGGCUUGGGAGUAUGAGAGCCUCUUCUCUGACUGUGGUUAGAAUCAGAAUGGCAGCAUUACAUAUCGAUCUCCAAAAAAAUUCAGCAAUUGUUCCUGUUGCAGAACUGGGAGUAGCUGCCAGCAACAGCCGCUCACAGGGAAAGGCAAUGGCUGUUUACCUGCAUUGCUCAGUGGGACCAGGAAGGACAGCUAUUCAAGUGGAGGGGCACACCUUGUCAAUCGCUGAACGACCUCCUGUGUAAAUUGAGUGAGAGCGUGCGAUUUGCCCUGGAGCGUCUUUUCAGGCGUUCUGAAUCCUGCCACUGCCAUGACAGGAGCCCUUGGAUUCAAGCUGCCAUGGUGCCUGAAGUCAUCACCAGGAUGGGAGAGAGUACCAGAUGGGCAAGGAGGCUACAGCUCCUGCAGGACCCAGUAGAAAUGUCCAGGUUCAGAGGGGGAGGAAUUCAUCCACCAGCCUCUGUCAGGUUGUGAAUGUGCCGUCUGUUUCUUCUGGAAGAGCCCCAAGUGAUGUGACAGUGUUCAAGUGGAUCAGAUUUGCCCCUACUUAGGAUUGCUAUCAGCCAAUGUGGAUGACAGUCUCUGCCUGAGAAAUACAUCGAGGCGAAUGGUCACCACUGAGGAGGCAAAGAACAUUGUGCCCAGCAUGGUGAAUCACCACAAAGAGGUUCCUCCGAGCAGCCAUGGGGUGGUGGCACAUACUGCUCUGGUGUCCAGGAUGAUUUGAUGGAGAAUGUCUGCAAACAGGGCCUGAAAGGAGAGAAGUAUUCAAACAAGAACUGAAACAUCAGGCAACAAAAAUCAGACGUAUCUGCUUUAAUGGAAGAAUUUUAUGAUAGCUCAUUCUUCGGCUGCAAAGGUUGGGUCGUGCCUUUGUACAUAGUUUCCUGCAGCAAGAGGAGAAUCACAGCGUGGAUUGCAUUUCUUCUCUUCGGCAAGGGAAGGGGUCUGCAGCUCAUCUGCAUCAGUUCAUCUAUAACACUGAGCCAGGUGACGGGGCUGGGACUUAUCCCUGCACACAGGACCUGGUUGAUCCAUCCACAAGCAUAUCAGGAGUGGGGGACUUGUUUCUGGCUGUAGAACGUUACCACAGAAGAUAAAGAUCAAAUCCAGAUCCAAGAGGUGAUAAGGCUCAGAAAAUACCGAACCUCUGAGCUGAUGGGCGGGAGGCAGCGCUUGGAGAGAAAUGACUGGCUAUGAUCAGAAGCAUGGUCAGUACUGCUGAAGUGAUAAGGCUUUAACCAGAAGAAUUUCCAUCUUGUGGCAGUCCUUUGCAAUGGGUGCCACUGCUCCAAGAACUCUUCUGUGCGUGGUGUAAAAAGCGGGGAAACCAAGAAUGGACCCUGGCUUGAAAGGUGUUGGAGGUAGUCACUGGAACAGCAUCGCCCGAAAUUUGUGUCCACUUGAAAUGCUCCAUGUUUGUAAUCGCCGAGCAAGAAUGAGCAGGUCUUGGCUGUUGUCAUCUCCUUCAUGGUAAUUGAAGCACGCUGAGUGAUAAGCAUACCUGAAAGAAAAGAGGGGGUUCAAAGAGAGCUGGAAGAUGGAGGCAAACAGAAAGAAAUGGAAGUGUCAAGUUUUUAAACAGAAAACAAAGAAGCCUAUAACCUAAAAACCCACAAGCCUAAAGGUUCCAAGCCAUCAGCACCUGAGAACAGUGGCAUGCCUUGGAAAUGAGCUCUGACAUCCACACUCCCCUCCUUCGGAGGGAAAGAAGAGGUUUUGUGUCACAGUAUGGACCGAGAGAUUCCUCAGCUGGUAAAAAACACGAGGUCUGUAUUUCUUCCCAGCAAAAGCUUGGCUCUCCCUCAGCUGCAGCAACCUAAAAGGCUAAUAUGUAAGAAAGACCGCAUUAAAAAUAUGACGUAGAAAUAUGUCUUUAAUAAAAGGGACAGAAAAUUCCCAAAUUCUUUCUUCGUUCUCUGCUGCGACAGGAUUCCUAGCUACAAUCCACUUCUCACCUAUUUAAGUCUCUGCUCUUCUUAUUCCCCUCCUUUAGCAGGUUUGAAAUGAAUGAAGGGGUAGGAGAUGACACCGGUAGUAAACCGUGCGAGUUGCAUAAACGCAGAGCGGAUUUCAGUGCCUAAUGCACGCCGCAGAGAUUUCCACCGUGAAGACGGAGUGAGGGAGCCUGCAGCAUCUGAAGGGAAAUCAGCUGACGGCACCGCUCCGGCGUGCGGAGAUGUGAAACUGCCACAUACAGGGAAAGUGGAAGCGACUACUGAAACCUGCAGUGGCACCAACUCCCCAGAGCUUGAACUCCUGCGAUAAAGGGAAAGAGAUCAUUAACUGCGCGUGGGGAUCGCUCGUGGAGGAGGAAAAAAAACACCCUUUAACUCUGGAGUUUUUAAAAGUGCCCUUGUUUGUUUUCUUGGCAGAGGAUCGGAGCAUUUGGCACCCAUCCUUGGAAGGUGGCCCGGCUGUAAAAAUGCUGGGGUUGGCCCUUUCCAUGCUGUUGCUAAGCGGACGGCCCAAUAGCCGGCUGGGGCCCUCCAAACCCCACCCCACACUCUGGCCGGAUCCAGCCUGUAUUAAAAGCCUCUCUUCUCCCACUUGCUAAUAAUAAUUUUAAAAUUUUUUAUUAUUAUUAUUAUUUUAAAGCCAAGGAAGUGCCAAAUUUAUAUAAGCAAAACCACCCCGGCCGUGCCAAGAGGUGCGGGGCGUGCAGCCCGUGCCCCACAGAGCCCCAUGGCUUUGGGGCUGCGGUGCCACUCCCGUCAGAUCCGUUCCCCUUCUCUCUCCCCAGUCCCACAGCCUCAAGGUAUAGCUCAGAACCGAGGGUGUUGUUUUUUUUUCCUUCCCCCCACGUUCCCCCCCC
rnacentral:lncRNA from 1 species